rnacentral:rRNA from 1 species
CNAUGCCCUUNGNGGCUCCUUGGUGAUUCAUGAUAACUUCUCGAAUCGCAUGGCCUUGUGCCGGCGAUGGUUCAUUCAAAUUUCUUCCCUAUCAACUUUCGAUGUUUGGGUAUUGGCCAAACAUGGUUGCAACGGGUAACGGAGGGUUAGGGCUCGACCCCGGAGAAGGAGCCUGAGAAACGGCUACUACAUCCAAGGAAGGCAGCAGGCGCGCAAAUUACCCAAUCCCGACACGGGGAGGUAGUGACAAUAAAUACUGAUACAGGGCUCUUUUGGGUCUUGUAAUUGGAAUGAGUACAAUUUAAAUCCCUUAACGAGGAACAAUUGGAGGGCAAGUCUGGUGCCAGCAGCCGCGGUAAUUCCAGCUCCAAUAGCGUAUAUUAAAGUUGUUGUGGUUAAAAAGCUCGUAGUUGAACCUUGGGCCUGGCUGGCCGGUCCGCCUCACCGCGUGUACUGGUCCGGCCGGGCCUUUCCCUCUGUGGAACCCCAUGCCCUUCACUGGGUGUGGCGGGGAAACAGGACUUUUACUUUGAAAAAAUUAGAGUGCUCCAGGCAGGCCUAUGCUCGAAUACAUUAGCAUGGAAUAAUAGAAUAGGACGUGUGGUUCUAUUUUGUUGGUUUCUAGGACCGCCGUAAUGAUUAAUAGGGACAGUCGGGGGCAUCAGUAUUCAAUUGUCAGAGGUGAAAUUCUUGGAUUUAUUGAANACUAACUACUGCGAAAGCAUUUGCCAAGGAUGUUUUUAUUAAUCAGGAACCAAAGUUANGGGGG